ensembl:lncRNA
UUUAUAAAUUAAUCUAUAUACACAUGCGUAUUUAAGACUGAAAAAAAUGGCAAAAUAUCAACAGUUUUCUUCUAGUUUAUAAUCUCAGUUCAAUUUUCAAAUUUUAUACAAAACUGAUUGCUUUCAUAAUCAGAAACAAAUGUAGACCUCGCUGCAGACAGGCAGGUCUGCCCACACCCUACCAAGGUCCCCAGUCGCACGGAACCCACGCCGAAUAAGCCCGCUGCAGACAGGCAGGUCUGUGCACGCCCUACCGAGGUCCUGAGUCACGCAGAAGACACCGAAUCACCCCACUGCAGACAGGCAGCCACCUGAUUCCACACUACAAAGACGCAGAGGACACGAGACCACCAGACCAAGGUAUUCACUUGGAUUUCUUCUUAAAUACUGAAGCUGAAUGUGAAGAACCAAUUCCAGGGCUAAAAUUGGUCUCUGGGAAGAGGAAGUGCUGUUUCUGCCAUGGCCAUCCCAAGUCCAUUACGCAUGCCAGAGCAACAACAAUAUUCAUUACCAACCUGCCUCCCCACAAACUAAAGGAACUACAUGAUCACACCUGCAACACAUCCUUCUCAUUCCUGAGAAGGGCUAGGUGAUGCAGAUGGAAGUGGAAUUCCACAGCAUCACUUCCUUUGUAGACCAUUAAAAUGCAACAGAUGCCAUUCUCACUGAAAUGUUUGUGGAAAAGUUCAAGGUGCGUUUUAGGGCAUUUUAAAGUCACACAUAUCUGAAAACUUUGCAAAACACUGGUAUUGACAGCUGCAUUACAGUGUAUCUUUAUCUCAGUAAGGCUACCGUGCUACCUUUUGAAAUGGCCCUUUUCAAGUGGUCACCGUAGCCAAAUUCAUUCAAGAGAGCAGGAACAGUUCUGUGUCUUUGGCGUGUGUUUUUUGAAAGACAAUGUUAGCAGAUGUUGCAGCAGCUGUAGAUGUUAGUCCUUGACCAACUCCAUGCCAUGGAUUCUGCACCCAGGCCACAACAUUCUACCAAAUCCAAUCAGACUCUCUGUUUCAUAUUCCCAUAGUAUGGGGUAAAAGAGGUGCCAACUAACCAAUCCUCCUAAUCAUGGACAAGGCCCACAUGUGGGGAUAGAUGGUAACCCAGGAACAUGAGGAGAAAGUACAGAUCUGAUCAGCUGGGCUAGCCCCAGGAAAAGUCCACCCUACUGUAAACUACAAAAUCAACAUGGUGUUUUUCUCUUAAAGUGACUCCUUCCCUGCAGGGCAGAGUUAGAGAAAAAAAACAAUGCAGUGCUUGUCAAAUUGCAGAGACAGUUUAAUAAGGUUCCGUUUUGGAAAGAAGUUGUUCAAGACUGAGCCACAGUGCAGUUCCACUCCAGGGUUUCUGGUGUUACCCACCCACAGUGACUGAGUAAAAGACAGCUAGGAGAAACAGCCUCAAAGAUGGUCCAGGCUAGACAUGGACCCCUUGAGAAGUUUAAGCUCAGGCCAGAGGGAUAUGGGCCCUGUACUCCAUAGUGAGAAACCAGGCCCAGUGAGUGUGGCUUUCAUAAGAGACUGGACCUGAAACUGAUGGCAUUAA